UUCAUAAAUAUAUGUCAUUGCAAUAAAGCUUUAACUAUGCUUUUGUCUCUUAAGUUUUCAGAGUUGCUUGUGAGUGCAUAUCCAAGAUUGGCAAAUAUCUGUGGUGGCUGGAUGCUGCACAAAUCCACAGGUGGGGGUGGGCGGCGGAGCUUGAUUGUUAUUCCUCCAGAUCUACAUGGAUACACUGGCCAGUAGCUAAAAGCAGUGAGCGGAAAUGGAAGAUACACAAUGUACAUUUCUCCAUUACAAGAAGAAUUUGAUACAAUUCCAUUACCACCCGAAGCAAAGGAGUUUGAGAAAAUGCCCAAAGCCCAGUGUACAACCUGCAAGAAAAUGGUUCCACUUCAGAUUCUUCCAGUACACAUCAAGGAAUGCAAGACAGAACUUGUAGAUUUGUCCUAUUCUGCUGAAGAGGAAAACUGCAACGAAGAACAUGAAGAUGAAUUCCCAGAUUCCAUUUGCAACCAGACAGACAAGGUGAAAUUGUUUGUACCUUCCUGGUAAAUUAAGAUAUUAAUAUCUGGAAUAAUGUAAAAUUGUAUUCACAUGCCUUGUGAAUUCUAUUUUAAGACAGCAGAGUGUCCUGUGUGCAACAAUGCAUUUCAAGUUGACAUGAUUGAGAUCCAUGCAGCCACAUGCGGAUUACGACCCUCAGAUAAUGACGGCCAUGAGUCAAGUGAAUCAGUACCAGUCGGUCAAAUCAGUUCCUUUCAAAGUUCUGAGGAAAUAUUGGAUUGGAUCACUUGUCAAGUUGAUGAAACAAACACAUUUUCCAUCUGUGUGUCGCGAACUGACCUCUUCAGCAGAGGCAUGCAACAGUGGCAACGGCAGAAGAAGACGUCGCCCAAAUGUAGACUUAAGGUCGCAUUCUUUGGUGAGGCAGGCAUCGAUACUGGCGCCCUUAGCAGAGAAGUCCUCGCAGGUACAAAUGUUUGUCUAUAUUUCAUUUCACAAUAAGAGAAUAUUUGUGCGCAUCAAAUUCUUACAAGGCUCGGUGCAGGAUAAAAGAUAAACAAGAACAAAAAGGAAAGGAAUUAUCUACACACUGGAUAUAGUUCCAAGAAUUUUUAUCGGACUGAUGUGUGGUCUUCGUUGUCUUCCUGUUUGUCCAUAUUUGUCAAAUCAGACACACUUGACACACAUCAACACGAGGCCUCUGGUGGUGUAGUGGGCUCACAUGCUAAUUAAAUGGGAAAAAACAAGAGACAGAAGAGACCUUUUGAAUUUCCUGUAUUUGCUGUUUUGCAGAAAUGCUAUCAGAAAUCGAAAACAGACUCUUCGUUUGAGGGUCAGAUAAGAAAGGGAAGAAUCCUGUUUAUUGUCUCAACAGUUUGGACUCUAACUACUUCAGGAGUGCAGGAGAGGUCAUGGCAGCCAGCCUGGCAGAAGGCGGACCUUGUCCUAGCUUCAUGCGCGAGUGGUGCUUCAGACAUCUCUGCUCCGGAGACUCUGACACCAUACAAGUGUCUGCCAGUGAUGUAACAGAUUUUGAACUGUCACAGCUUAUUGAGAGGAUAAACAGCGCCAGUAAUGACAUCAGUAACCUGGUUGACGAUGUUGUGACCUGUGGAUACACUGGAAUCGUGUCUCUGGAAAAUAAAGACAGCAUGAUAAGAACUGUCGUACUUCACUCCACCAUGAGAGUCAUCCCAAUGCUCGACCAGCUCAGAAAAGGCCUGCAGCUGUAUGACCUACCAAAAAUCAUGAAGACUCAUCAAGACCUCUGCCUACCACUCUUUGUUCCAGGGGAAGAUGAUGAGGUCUGUUCUGCCCCUCAUUUAUAGUGAAUCUGUUAUAAUGUAACGUCAUCUCCAGUAAAA